GAGUUUGAACCUGGCUCAGAACGAACGCUGGCGGCAGGCUUAACACAUGCAAGUCGAGCGCCCCGCAAGGGGAGCGGCAGACGGGUGAGUAACGCGUGGGAAUCUACCCAUCUYUACGGAACAACUCCGGGAAACUGGAGCUAAUACCGUAUACGUCCUUCGGGAGAAAGAUUUAUCGGAGAUGGAUGAGCCCGCGUUGGAUUAGCUAGUUGGUGGGGUAAUGGCCUACCAAGGCGACGAUCCAUAGCUGGUYUGAGAGGAUGAUCAGCCACACUGGGACUGAGACACGGCCCAGACUCCUACGGGAGGCAGCAGUGGGGAAUAUUGGACAAUGGGCGAAAGCCUGAUCCAGCCAUGCCGCGUGAGUGAUGAAGGCCCUAGGGUUGUAAAGCUCUUUCAACGG
rnacentral:rRNA from 1 species